rnacentral:rRNA from 1 species
GGAAGGAUCAUUAUCGAGAUACCACAAGCUGUUGCUCAAUUGGUGCACGCUUGUUAUUCUUCAUUUCCACAUCCACUGUGCAUCCUUUUGUAGAUCUGGUUUGGGACUGCUUUGCAUUCAGUGUUGCGGGCUUUCCUUGUGAUUUUUCAGAUCUAUGUUUUUUCAUAUACUCCAGUCAUUUAGAAGGAAUGUUGUAACAAUGAUAAUCGUUAAUACAACUUUCAGCAACGGAUCUCUUGGCUCUCGCAUCGAUGAAGAACGCAGCGAAAUGCGAUAAGUAAUGUGAAUUGCAGAAUUCAGUGAAUCAUCGAAUCUUUGAACGCAUCUUGCGCUCCUUGGUAUUCUGAGGAGCAUGCCUGUUUGAGUGUCAUUAAUAUCUCUCAACCACACAGUGUGUGUGGCUUGGACUUGGGGUUCGUGUGCAGGCUUGAUGGUCUGCUGCCCUGAAAUGAAUGCAUGUUGAACCUGCAUCUUAGAUGUGAUAACCCCUUUGCAUCUUUGUUGCAUCAUUUGACCCUUGACCUCAAAUCAGGUAGGACUACCCGCUGAACUUAAGCAUAUCAAUAAGCGGAGGAAAAGAAACUAACAAGGAUUCCCUUAGUAAC